UUUGAUGCCUCAUCCUUGCUCGGCUCUGAAGGUCACAGAUUUAAUCAUGUACAACUGCAGAAAGGAGGCAGACCCUUUCCUUUUUGCCAGAUGAUCUUUUGAAGCCCUUGUAUACACACCAAACCAAUUGCUGCGCUGACUCCGGCUCAGAACAGAAAUUGGUGGUAAAAGGAAUAAGGAUGCUUGCCGCUCAAGGAGAAGCGCCUCAAUUGGGGGUGGAAGAAGUUGGGUCGCAUUCCUGGGCGGGGAUCCUAGAUUUCCGGCACUGCUUGUUGAAAAGACUAUCUCUUCCCCACCGAACGUGUCUUCCAUCAAAAAGCAACUAUCUGUAGGUACCUUGUUGUAUUUCUGCUUUCACUUUUCUGUUUCUUUCAUUGUUUAA